rnacentral:lncRNA from 1 species
AAAUUCUGUGGCCUAUUUACUGUUUGUAUUGUGGGUCACACCUGCACUCAUUUACUGUGCCUGCAAGAGGACCUUUAUCUUCAGAGUGGGCUAAGCAGUGACUAUAAAUGAAGUCUUACAGGAAAUAGCCACACAAAGCGACCUGUUGUUUGAAAUCAAACAGAAACUGUGCAAGCAAAUACGUAGGGUGGUCCGAGGCGACUGAAGGGAACUGAAAUCUGAACAUCACCGAACUGCUGCAAUGUUCUGCAGGCAGAAAUCUGUCCUCGCCGGGAUGAUGGGACCGCGUCGCACUACAUGGCCUGUAUGGCUUUUCAUUUCAGCCUUGAUACCAUCCGAAUGUCAGCAGAGCUGUAAGUACACCCACUCCCAUAAAGUCAUGUGGUCUGACGAGGCUACAUAUCUUCCCUGUUCUGUGAAGUCGGCCUAUCAGCAACAGUACCGAGUGAAAUGGACAAAAGUUCAGCCUGAUGGCUCCUCCAGGAAGAUAAUAGCAGCCUGGCCAGAAUCCCCCAAGCCUGUUGUGCAGCGCGAUCCCAGGGUCUUCCUGAUGCCCGGACGUGGCGGGGUGGAGACAGGAGACGCAUCGCUUAUCUUGCAGAACAUUACCAGCGGAGACAGCGGAAAUUAUUCCUGUGAGGUCUGGGUCGUGUGGAGCUGUCUGCUGAAUGCUUCGUUCACACUCAAUGUCAAAGGUCAGGGCCACCGUGUUGCAAACCUUAAAGUUAAUGCUCUUGGAUAUCGUGCCAUACAUUCCGGUUUUAUUUCCCAACAGAAUGCGGAUGGGCCACUGCCGUGAAAGCAUUACAGAAUAGCACCGUCACCCUGACAUGCCCUGUCAGGACAGGCACAGAAAGCGGCAUCACAGAGGUCAUUUGGGAGGCGAUUGAAGGAAAACAGCCUGUUCGUAUAGCACGCCAUCCUUAUCUCGCCACUGACAACGUCAGUGUCGCGGCGGCUUUUGUGAAUAAGGCCACAGUUCAUCCGAGCAACACGUCUCUUACCCUGAACAACAUGGAUGAGAAUGACUAUAAGUGGUACAAAUGCACGUUGCGUACGGAUGAAGAACAGUACUGCUACGAGAUUAAUCUGAAAGUUAGAGGUAUCUUCUACUUAUCUUCUAAUUACUGUUCCCCAGUUCGAUUAUGGCAUCAAGAGACAUUUGUGCAUUUCAUUUUGGCAGAUUUGACGGCUCAAAGCACAAGAGCUGCGCUGCGUGAAAUCCACCACACGAGCGGUAAUUUACGGGAUGAGCAAACAAUGCAGACAACUUGUCCAUCGGUCUGUUUAUCUUUCCAUCUCCUCCAGCAGGUCCCACCAGCCAGGUCUCACCCACCUGGACCAGCCCUGACCAGACUAGUGUCCAGGCUGAGACAGCUUCUGUGCUCUUCUCGAGCGUCACCGCCACGGCGGUGUGUGUGUGUGUGUUCGUGGCCGUGGGGAUUGCCCUGCAUUAUAAAUGUCGUCACAA